UUGCCGCCAUUAUAAUAUUGUAGAAUGGUGAUAAGAAACAAGAAACAGGUACGAAAGAAAGCAUCGGAGUUUGGUAUUGGUUUCAAGUUUAACUUUCACUUUCACUUUCAGUAUACAGUGCAACAUAAUAUUGCAGAUGCACAUUCAUCAGUUUCGAGGUUCGGCGUGUAUCUAGAAAUGAUCAAAAUUUUCUUCCGGUGUGAUUUUUCGUUUGUUCUGUUCAAUUUUUUUAAUCAUUUUAUAUGCUGGUGAAAAGCUUAGGUAUUGACUUUAUGGACUCCUCUACGGUACCUUUGAUAACUAAUAGAAUAGAAUAAGAUCAAUGUCAACUCUUUGAUGCUUCGUCGAAAUGGACAUACCAACUUUGAAAUACUACGGCGGAGGCGGAAUCACUAUACCUUUUGUAGGAUCAUAAAAAAUAAACGUCAUGUGGAUGGAAUUAGGUACCCACUACCCUGUCGUUUUUGUAGCAGUAUUGUCAGCGGUUUGAAAUUGCUGGAGACUUCCGAUCAGCCCUACAUCGAUAUCUAUCUAACAGGAGAUCAAAAAAUGGUAGCUUACACUUUCAUUUCAAACGAAGCUCUUUUUUUAGCAGCAA